rnacentral:tRNA from 1 species
UGGGAUGUGGUGUAAUUGGUAACACGGAUGAUUCUGGUUCAUUUGUUCGGGGUUCGAGUCCCUGCAUCCCAGCCA